UCGGACUCGACAAUCGCUCGGUGGAUUAGUGUUAAGGCACCAGACCGGGCGUCUCCGUGCGGAAAUAGCAGAUAUCGUGAAAGCAUCAAACUUUUAUCUCUUCUGAUAAGUUCAAAGCUAGAACUCUGCUUGUUCGAUAUGGAAUCGGGCUCGAGCAUGGAAGAAUCCACUUCGUGGGAUGAGCUAUAUAAUAUCAAUUUGAUGCCGUCGGAGUUCUUCCUUAAGUUCCGGAAGGAGACACAAGGUUUUCGAGUUGGUCUUAAUAUGGAGUUCUACAAUGCUCCAUGCAAUGAAUAUCAAGCAAAGCUUGUAUUGAAACCUUUGGCACCUGAAUGGAAGUGGAAAUUUAUUUGUGAGCCUAUUCAUCGUGACGUUCGCAUCCUCUCGAAGAAGAUCCCAAUAACCAAAUUUCUGAAUCUCCAGGUUGGUGUGGGACACAAUUUUCAGAUGCAUGCUACUGGGUGGAAAUGGAAGCUUACGACAUGUUUGGGUGGGGAUGGUGUCUCGCGGAUUCGAAACAAGACAACUCUUGGCUUGUUUCCUGGCUUUGAUUUCCGGUUUGGAUGGAGGGCAGAUUAUGUUCUUCCAGAGCUUACUGGAGCUCUGGGAACUGGUGAGCCAUUGUUCAACAUGAACUCAGGACGAUUACAAGCAUCACUUGAUAGAGUUGAGGCCAUCUUAACCCACAGUGAUGCUGAUUGAUUCAAGCAAAGAAGAGGCGAUAACAACAAGAGAAAGUAUACCAGAUCUCGUUCUUUUGAACUUUCAAGAAAUUUGAGCCAAAGUUUAUUUAUGAGUAUGCUUCCUUGUAUCAAAGGACCUCGAUGCAUCUCACACUGGCUCUGCCUCAUAGCAAACAAUGGGCAAAGCAAGAUUUAUCUGUGAUGAGGGAAAUGGCAAAAGGAAUUUGAACUUUGAAGAGGAUACCCUUAUUGGUCUUUGAAAAGUGUGUCAACUCUUUGGUCUUUACAUCUUAUCCUUACAUGAUUCAAUUUUUUAGGGUUUGGUAUAUAUCAAUGUGUGGGUUUUUCUGUGUCUGUGCAAAACCAACUCAGGAACGAAAUGUCUCCUCCACCUUUAAUGUUAGUUUUUUUAGAAGAUAUUUUUUAUUGUUUUUUUUUUUUAAAGCACUGCGGCUUAUCCCCUCAUUCUGAAUUAUGCCUGGAGACCAAGAGAACCAAUACUAGCGAUCUUAUUACUGUCACUGACCAUUAUAUGAAAAUUGAAAACCCAAAAUAUGGUUAUCAAAAGAAAUGAUAUUUUGUGAAUGAGGCUUUA